AUUGAACGCUGGCGGCAGGCCUAACACAUGCAAGUCGAACGAGUGGCGGACGGGUGAGUAAUGUCUGGGAAACUGCCUGAUGGAGGGGGCUAACUACUGGAAACGGUAGCUAAUACCGCAUACCAUCGGAUGUGCCCAGCUGGGAUUAGCUAGUAGGUGGGGUAAAGGCUCCCCUAGGCCACGAUCCCUAGCUGGUCUGAGAGGAUGACCAGCAAAACUGGAACUGAGACACGGUCCAGACGCCUACGGGAGGCAGCAGUGGGGAAUAUUGCACAAUGGGCGCAAGCCUGAUGAAGCCAUGCCGAGUGUAUGAAGAAGGCCGUCGGGUUGUAAAGUACUUUCAGCGGGGAGGCGUUACCCGCAGAAGAAGCACCGGCUAACUCCGUGCCAGCCGCCGCGGUAAUAC
rnacentral:rRNA from 1 species